ensembl:piRNA 21ur-5367 ncRNA
UAUUUCCAUUAUUCCCCUGUU